rnacentral:rRNA from 1 species
ACUCCUGCGGGAGGCAGCAGUGGGGAAUAUUGGACAAUGGGCGCAAGCCUGAUCCAGCCAUGCCGCGUGAGUGAUGAAGGCCCUAGGGUUGUAAAGCUCUUUCACCGGUGAAGAUAAUGACGGUAACCGGAGAAGAAGCCCCGGCUAACUUCGUGCCAGCAGCCGCGGUAAUACGAAGGUGGCUAGCGUUGUUCGGAUUUACUGGGCGUAAAGCGCACGUAGGCGGACUAUUAAGUCAGGGGUGAAAUCCCGGGGCUCAACCCCGGAACUGCCUUUGAUACUGGUAGUCUUGAGUUCGAGAGAGGUGAGUGGAAUUCCGAGUGUAGAGGUGAAAUUCGUAGAUAUUCGGAGGAACACCAGUGGCGAAGGCGGCUCACUGGCUCGAUACUGACGCUGAGGUGCGAAAGCGUGGGGAGCAAACAGGAUUAGAAACCCUAGUAGUCCCA